AGUGAACGCUGGCGGUAGGCCUAACACAUGCAAGUCGAACGGCAGCACAGUAAGAGCUUGCUCUUACGGGUGGCGAGUGGCGGACGGGUGAGGAAUACAUCGGAAUCUACUUUUUCGUGGGGGAUAACGUAGGGAAACUUACGCUAAUACCGCAUACGACCUACGGGUGAAAGCAGGGGAUCUUCGGACCUUGCGCGAUUGAAUGAGCCGAUGUCGGAUUAGCUAGUUGGCGGGGUAAAGGCCCACCAAGGCGACGAUCCGUAGCUGGUCUGAGAGGAUGAUCAGCCAUACUGGAACUGAGGCACGGUCCAGACUCCUACGGGAGGCAGCAGUGGGGAAUAUUGGACAAAGGGCGCAAGCCUGAUCCAGCCAUACCGCGUGGGUGAAGAAGGCCUUCGGGUUGUAAAGCCCUUUUGUUGGGAAAGAAAAGCAGCAGGUUAAUACCCCGCUGUUCUGACGGUACCCAAAGAAUAAGCACCGGCUAACUUCGUG
rnacentral:rRNA from 1 species